rnacentral:tRNA from 1 species
AGGCGGCCGCCGGGCGCGAGCCGGACGGCGCUGCGGUCGCCGUCCGAGAGCGCGGCGCAGACCCACAGGAGCUCCGAAUCCCUGGCCACCUC